GACGAACGCUGGCGGCGUGCUUAACACAUGCAAGUCGAGCGGUAAGGCCCUUUCGGGGGUACACGAGCGGCGAACGGGUGAGUAACACGUGGGUGACCUGCCUUUAGCUCUGGGAUAAGCCUGGGAAACCGGGUCUAAUACCGGAUAUGACUCCGCGGCGCAUGUUGUGGGGCGGAAAGCCUUGUGCGGCUGGAGAUGGGCCCGCGGCCUAUCAGCUUGUUGGUGGGGUGAUGGCCUACCAAGGCGACGACGGGUAGCCGGCCUGAGAGGGCGACCGGCCACACUGGGACUGAGACACGGCCCAGACUCCUACGGGAGGCAGCAGUGGGGAAUCUUGCGCAAUGGGCGAAAGCCUGACGCAGCGACGCCGCGUGA
rnacentral:rRNA from 1 species